AGGCGAAUGCAUUGGCAACUGUGCAAGUGCUGUUCUCAGGCUCUGACCGUCGGGGUAUCUCGAUCCCCGUAUCCAAAAAGAAUUCCAAUUUGAGAAAAACGUAUGGAAAUCACAAAGGAACUCGAGUCCAGUAAACAGAUCCCUUCAAGAUCUCAAACAGGAGUCCAACAUAUAGUGCAUACUCCCCAGUACAUACAAACGUGGAUAUCGUCUGUUUGCCGCGUUGUACCAUUGCAUUCAGAAGUUUUUUUUCUGCUAUAUUGUGGGUGUGUUUUACCGCUGAUAAGGGUGCUUUCACCCUCAUAUGAUGCUGGCAGAUGCGAACCGUUUUAACUGUUUCCGACGGUGAAGCAGCCUGUCCUCGCAGUGGAACAUAUUUCUUAAUCAGGCCCUGUCGAGGUCGACGCAGUUCUCUGCGAUGGUGCGAGGAAGGAAAAGCCAGAAACAGAGGGAAACUGCGGGACAAAACAGUGAUGAUGGCGCCCGAGAGAAAGGGGAGGAAAGGGCGACACGGAAAAUGACCUAGGAACCACUCCACGCAGAUUCUACGGAGUGCGACCGAAACGCAUGCCGCAAGAGGAAAGAAGGACCGUGUCAGCCGGUCGUGGUAAAACGAAACCGACCGGAGGAAAUAAACGGCGAAGGACGACGCACAAUGAAGAAGGAGAGAGCAAACUGCAUGAACUUCACUGGGUGGUGUCCGACCACGAGCAGAAAACCAGCUGCAGGUUCUUGACCGAGUACAGUGGUGACAAGGAGACGGGAAACACGACACUGUGUUAGCAGAGAUGACAGCAGACUAAAUGUUCUAACGAGAGACUAUCGAAGGUACCCCAUAAGAAACAGUUUCCUUGUGCAUUUGUGUCUGAACAACACUUCACCUCAAGUGUCGCAAGAGUCUGUUGCACGCAGCAAGCAGUUCUCCAGCGACUUGUUUUCAUCAGGAAUACCUGAAUUUCAUUCUCCGGCAAAUUUUGCCGGUUGGGAUUUUCGCACGACCCUUCGGUCACGGAAACCGAGGGCGGAAGGUGACCGUUAUUUUUAGCGAUAGAAAAUCUCUGGCGGAAACAUGAGAAGAAACAAGGCUCCACAACAAAUGCAGGGGAGACGACAUGCCAGUGUUCUACCACGUUGUGGAAAUUCUGCUUGGUGUUUCAUUUGCGUUUUGAUUGUUGUCUACUGUUGUCUGUGGCUUGUUAAGUCCACAUCCUUAAUCAUUGUUCUGUACGUUGUGCCAAAGACCUCAUGGUCAUUGUGUAUGUGACCUUUAUAGUGGAGUAGAGAAAUCUGUUUCGCACUCAGACAUAGGGACUACAUCCAGCCCGUUCUGAGUAUCAGGCGUACUCCUUUUCAUUCUUUG
rnacentral:lncRNA from 1 species